GGGGAUGUAGCUCAGAUGGUAGAGCACUUGCUUAGCAUGUGAGAGGCACCAGGAUCGAUACCCAGCAUCUCCA
rfam:Selaginella moellendorffii unplaced genomic scaffold SELMOscaffold_46, whole genome shotgun sequence.